UAUUGUUGCUUAAGAUUUUAGUUCCAUGUUAUUUAUAAAACCUGACGUUUUUAGUAUUUUUAAAAAGUAAUCUCUACAGGGAUCCCUGGGUGGCGCAGCGGUUUGGCGCUUGCCUUUGGCCCAGGGCGCGAUCCUGGAGACCCGGGAUCGAAUCCCACAUUAGGCUCCCGGUGCAUGGAGCCUGCUUCUCCCUCUGCCUAUGUCUCUGCCUCUCUCUCUCUCUCUCUGUGACUAUCAUAAAUAAAUAAAAAUUAAAAAAAAAAAAAGUAAUCUCUACACCCAACAUGGGGGUUGAACUCAUGACCCUGAUAUCAAGAGACAGUUGUUCCUCUAACUGAGUCAUCCAGGUGCCUCUUUGGAAUUAUUUUUUACCAUAAAAACUUUUAAAGGGGAUCCCUGGGUGGCGCAGCGGUUUGGCGCCUGCCUUUGGCCCAGGGCGCGAUCCUGGAGACCCGGGAUCGAAUCCCACGUCGGGCUCCCGGUGCAUGGAGCCUGCUUCUCCCUCUGCCUGUGUCUCUGCCUCUCUCUCUCUAUCUGUGUGUGGCUAUCAUAAAUAAAAAAAAAAAAAAAACUUUUAAAGAUUCUUCCAUUAUGUUUCACCAAAAACUUUGAUGAACACUGCACUUUGCAUUCCAUUUCCCCCUUGUGAGUUCAUUUUUCUUCUUGAUGUGCACUCUUUUUUUUUUUUGAUACAUUAUCUCAUUUUAUUCAAAUACCAGUCUGAUCACAUAUGGUCCAAGAACACUCAAAUUAUAAGCCACAUAGAAAGAGAUGUUAUGCCAACGCUUGCAUAUGAUCUCGCCGACAUAAAACCACAUCCACACUUCGGUGGCCACCAAACCAUUCAGCAGAGCUUCCUUAACUGUGAGCUGUUUGAAGCUACCAGUUUGAGCACUCUUGACUAUUUUUUUUCAAGCUCUGAAUAGCUGUAGGGAUCUCAGCAGGGGUUGGAGGAACCAGCUCAACCCUGGCAUAGUGCCAAAAUGUGGCCAAUCGAGGCUUCGAGUAAGUCACAGCAGCGUUCAGCAGCGCCGGAGCCUUCUCAGCGAGGUUACGGACGAACUGGGCCAUGGCUCCAAGAGGGACGUCCUGUGCACUCUUUAAUAAUUCUUUCAGUGACAGCCUGGGAGUAGUAAAUACUAUGAAUCCCUUUUUUUUCUUAGUUUAUUUUUUUUAGUAAUCUCUACAUGUAAAGUGGGUCUCAAACUCAUGACUCCA
rnacentral:lncRNA from 12 species